rnacentral:lncRNA from 1 species
AUUCGACGGAUCAGAGGCCGCAGCUGGCAUGGUGGUGGCCGACGACAGGAGAGCUACGAUGUCGCAACCCAGAGGAACCCAAAUCGAUGGUCGGUGGUGAUCAUCGGCAUCGAAAAAUCAAAGAAAAAAGGGGUGAAAAUCGGAGAUAUUUUCUCCAACAAAAUCCGACGAAUCCGAUCGUUGGCGAUCAUGCACACAGGCAA